AUGCAUUUGAAGUCCAGCGCAUCAGUUCUAAGAGGAGGAAGCGCUCUCCCUACUCUCCCUGAGGAAGGAGAGACGAUUCCGGAGCAAUUCCAGCUCCUCCUCCCCAUAGGUCAGUUCACGCAACAGAGUUUCGAAGCUGUUCGAGUUUGUGUUUCAACUGUUCUCUCCGCUUCCUCAGAAAGGAGAGGGAGAUCACCGUUAGUAAUGCCUGCUUAAACCUAGGCACUAUAUAGCAUUGGACCAAUGCUAUGCAAAUACCAAGUAUUGCCACGUCAUGAGGGGCUCUGAAGAAAACUUGGAACCAGAUCUAGACACCAUCUUCCUUUCUCCCCAGAAAGGCUGAGCAGAGUUAGGGCACAGGUGAGAAAAUUACCAUGUACCAGGAUGUGGCAUCCAUGCCAAUUCUUACCUAAGACUUAAUGAGGCUGCAGACACACCCAAAGCAAGGCAUAUUCCCAAGCACCUCCUGUUUUUAAAGGACUUUACUAAGAACCCUUCAGGUGCUGUGAGUGAUAGCUGCAGAUCUCUGGGUAUGACUUUAGCAACUCCCUUUUUUUACUGGAAGUGCAAUAAUUAAAAAUAGGCUUGCUGCUUUGCCAAACGUCCUGGUAGGGGUGAGGGUGGGGGGAAUCCAAAUUGGACAGGAUUGGCUUUGAAGUGUUCAAAACAGG
rnacentral:lncRNA from 1 species